GAUGAACGCUGGCGGCGUGCCUAAUACAUGCAAGUCGAGCGAACAGACGAGGAGCUUGCUCCUCUGACGUUAGCGGCGGACGGGUGAGUAACACGUGGAUAACCUACCUAUAAGACUGGGAUAACUUCGGGAAACCGGAGCUAAUACCGGAUAAUAUAUUGAACCGCAUGGUUCAAUAGUGAAAGACGGUUUUGCUGUCACUUAUAGAUGGAUCCGCGCCGCAUUAGCUAGUUGGUAAGGUAACGGCUUACCAAGGCAACGAUGCGUAGCCGACCUGAGAGGGUGGUCGGCCACACUGGAACUGAGACACGGUCCAGACUCCUACGGGAGGCAGCAGUAGGGAAUCUUCCGCAAGGGGCGAAAGCUUGACGGAGCAACGCCGCGUGAGUGAUGAAGGUUUUCGGAUCGUAAAACUCUGUUAUUAGGGAAGAACAAAUGUGUAAGUAACUAUGCACGUCUUGACGGUACCUAAUCAGAAAGCCACGGCUAACUACGUG
rnacentral:rRNA from 1 species